AUUCGAAUUUGUUCCAUUUCGUAUUCUCCGGCGCCAUCUUGAAAUAGAAAGUUUUCCGGAAUUUGCGAGUUAUUUUUCCCUCCAUUUUGGCAUUUUUCCUACGAAUUUUAAUAACAACAGCUUGUGUAACGAAAAAGUAACAUUCUCAAAUGUUAUAAUCCAUUUUUCAAAGAGACGUGAAAACAUUUUGGAAACUCCUUGUGCUCAAAACAAUUAACAAGCAGCAAAACAACAGGCAGGUCGCUUCAGUUUCCAUUUACUUAGUAAAUGAAUUGCUUGACGAAUCUGUGACAAGACCAGUGUGCGUUACCAAAAAGGAGCUUUUGAAUUUUAUAAAAUGUUCAUAAUCCUAAGAGAGUACUGCGCAUUGCUUGGCCAAGAUAUACGAAACGAUCUGUAGCCUAUAUAUUUUUAGGACAGCAUUAAUUCCGAAAUUCGUGAAGAAUGCUCCUUUUGUGAUUUUAUAAAAUUUAUUGCGUAUAGUUAUCAAUUUAGGAAUGUUUUCGUUAAUCAAAUCCCAUGUUAAAAUUAUUUUUAAAUAAAUCAGAAAAUGCUU